UUUAAAUGCAGUUGUGAGUUUUUUUAUCUAACGUUAACUGUCAGUUUUAUUUAAAAUUUUUAAUGAUUAGUAUUUUAUUAUUAUAAGAUAAUAAAAUAUAAAUAGUAUUUUAUGCGUGACUUAUUUUAAAAAAGUUAUAUAAUUUUUUUAAAUAAGAUAAAUGGUCGAAUGUUGGACACACAACCUGUAACUACACUUAAA
rfam:Oryza rufipogon genomic scaffold, chr06